ACGCACGCUGGCGGCGUGCCUAAUACAUGCCAGUAGAACGCUGAAGAGAGGAGCUUACUCUUCUUGGAUGAGUUGCGAACGGGUGAGUAACGCGUAGGUAACCUGCCUUGUAGCGGGGGAUAACUAUUGGAAACGAUAGCUAAUACCGCAUAACAAUGGAUGACACAUGUCAUUUAUUUGAAAGGGGCAAUUGCUCCACUACAAGAUGGACCUGCGUUGUAUUAGCUAGUAGGUGAGGUAAUGGCUCACCUAGGCGACGAUACAUAGCCGACCUGAGAGGGUGAUCGGCCACACUGGGACUGAGACACGGCCCAGACUCCUACGGGAGGCAGCAGUAGGGAAUCUUCGGCAAUGGGGGCAACCCUGACCGAGCAACGCCGCGUGAGUGAAGAAGGUUUUCGGAUCGUAAAGCUCUGUUGUAAGUCAAGAACGGGUGUGAGAGUGGAAAGUUCACACUGUGACGGUAGCUUACCAGAAAGGGACGGCUAACUACGUG
rnacentral:rRNA from 1 species